GCGCCGCUGGCCCGGCGGCGCGGCCCGGCUCUACGCGCUGGCCGUCGGCGGGUUCGUGCUGGCGGUGGCCGGGAUCGUGGGCCCGGGCGUGGCGC
rnacentral:tRNA from 1 species